UACCUUCUGUAAACAUACUAGUCUUUAGAAUUUUCGGGUCCACUGUGUGUGACUAGCAGACUCUUAUCUAAAAGCGUUUUCUUAUCAUCAUAAUUUUGUUGCUAUUUAUAGCAAACAAAAUUUGAGUAAAAAUCCUAGAGAAAAUAUUAUAAUACUUUGAACUUUUUUCUAGAGUUUGAAACACCGAUACUCUGCAUCCUGCUUGCCUGCGCUUUGAGAUCGACAUCACGAGUCCAAUUGGAGUGAGUGCGAGCGAGAGAGACGGAAAUAGCGAAGAUGCUCAAAAGAGCGACCGAAGCGAAUGCAGUGUAAAAAAAGAUGAAAACUAAUGCAACUUUAACAAAGUUGAAAAAUAUAUGAUUGGGACUCGUCCUUUAAGCCCCUGGCAGGCACAAACUCAAACAAACACUGAUAAUCACACAGAUUAGUGAGACCAAACAGCGGGUGCGCGGUAUUUCCGCAGGUGGCGUUACGAAAAUACUGCAUGUAAUGGAAUUUACCAACACUGAGG